GGAAAAUUUUAACAUGAAGCAGUUAUGUCAACUGAACCAAAGUUAGGCCAAUGCAGGAAUGCUCGGAAAGUUCCUGAAUGAGAUAGGUAGGAUGAAAGAAUGCUUGUUAAGUUGCAAGGAGUGAAUUAAGGAGGAGACCUGCAUUCCUGCAUUAUCUUACCAGAUAUUCUGAGAAUGAGAAGGAGACACACUGUCUCCACUCCCUGUUUCUGUUUCAUGUAUGUUCUUAACUCCUCGUCUCCUGUUUGACAACUGGAUUGAUAAGAAAGUUGGGGAGGCAUAACGACUUCAAAAAGCUAUAUACAAUAGGGGAUAGGUAUGCAUGCAUGAUAAAGAACUUUUAACUAACAAAGGGGAGGGGGGUUUGGGCUAUUUCGUGAAUAAUCUGUGACACGACGGACCUGUCUAUAAAAACCUAUUAGUUUUACCUAAGAGGUAGCUGGUUCUCUUUGGAGACGGGCUGCUCUCUAUUGUUGUGUGCACUCUUCAAUAAAGAGCUUAUACUUGGACUUUGCUGGUGUUGCCUGUCUCUCUGCAGUCAGACAACGAAUCGUGCCGUCUGGGGUUCGAGUCCCCAACAAAUUGGCUACUCCGCCGGGACCCGUCUGACUCUCCAGCGUAGGAUCAGACUCUAAAAGCAACGCAGAGCGCAUCCUCCGGCUUUGAGGAGCCUUGCCGAUGAUCUGAUUCCUGCAUCGGCAAUAAGGCGUGUUCUGCGAACCAGCUGAAGCCCGUAGAAAUCCAGCAACGUCCACCUACCUGUUGAGUAGGCUCCAGAUCCAGGUCUUUUGGGUUCGAGUCCCUGGAGAGCAUUCUAUGCCGCAUCUUCAGGAUAACCCCGAAGCGGUAGAGAGAAUGUUCCAAACUAUUUUCUCUAUCCACUUACCGACAUGGGCAGAUGUAAAUCAACUGAUGGACACCUUCCUAACCGAGGAUGAACGUCAAAAAGUCAAAGAAAAAGCUGCAGCAUUUCACCAAACUCGGCAAGCUUGGGGAGCUAUGCCCACCGCUGAGCCUAAUUGGGAUCCAAACCCAGCUGGGGGAAGAGAAGGAUUGAGUCAAUACCGACAAGCUAUUUUGCAUGGGCUAAGGGCAGCGGGGAAGGCUACCCCGAAUUGGAGUAAGGUUACGGUAUGCGUACAACUCCCUAAUGAACACCCCUCCGAUUUUUGUACCCGAUUAACCAACAAGGUGAGGAAACAUAGCAACCUAGAUUUAGAAUCAGACUCUGAAAAGGAAAUGAUCAAGAUAGUGUUUAUGGCACAGUGUGCAAAGGACAUUGCAAAAAGGUUUAGGGAACACCCGAAUGGAAUGCAAGGAAAAAGCCUACCUAAAGUAAUUAGUAUCGCAACCCGAAUCUAUAAUGGGAGGGAAGAAAAGAGGAAAAAGGAGAAAAGGAAGGAAAAACUAAAAGAGAUGAAGGAUCAAGUGUCGCUGUUGGCAGUGGCCAUGUCGGGAGGCAGAGAAAGGGGCCGCAGGUGGAAUCACAGUUCCCAGGGAGGACUCACUGGAAGGGAAAGGGGUGGAUUCAUUCGAGGACAAGCGGGGUGCGGAGGUGGUAUGGAUACGGAAUGUGAUGGAUGCCAUUACUGUGAUGAGGAAGGACACUGGAAACAAGAAUGUCCCCAUAGGCAAAAGGCUGACUGUAGGCCUGAGAUAGUAGGUCAAUUCUUUGUAGACCAUAAAUGAAGGGAGGCGCCGCUCCCCUGGGGCCCUGAGGUUUAUGAGGCCAGAAUGAUACAAUUUAAAUGUGAUGCUCUAUUUCCAGUGGUCCCCCUAAAAAUAGGACAAGAAACUUAUGAAUUAUUGAUGGACACGGAGGCCACACAUUCGGCUAUACCUGAGGGGGCGACACCAAAGAGUGAAGUGGAAAAAUAUGUAGUGGGAGUCACUGGAAAACCUGAACGACAUUAUAUGACCAAAAAUUGUAUGGCCACUCUAGGUCCCUUUUCUGUUCAGCACUCCUUCUUAUUAAUGAAUGGUCUGGUGAACCUACUGGGAAGGGACUUGUUAUGUAAAUUGCAUGCCCAAAUAUCCUGUACUCCUAAAAGCAUUUCCCUUCGUUUCCCAAUGGAAAAAGUUUAUCUGCUAACACAUUUAUACGCCUUGCCCAUGAAAUGAAAGCUCGUAUGCCAGCCCUACAAAAUACUUCAUGCUGGGUGUGCUCAUUAAUGCCAGCCAAUAGCCAAAAGGGUCUUCCCAUGGUCCCUAUUCCCCUUAGUGCAAUGAAUAUGACCUGGACCCCUUCCUGAAAGGAUUCCUCAGGCAAUUUAAAUAUUACCUGGGCUGAUACCGGCAUCUCUAAAAGCAAGUAUCUAAUAGUUUGGAAACAAGUUGGUCAAUGGUGCUUCUUAAAAGAAGGGAAAAUAGCAUUAGGUAAUAGUGAGUGCAAAGCUUACUUUAAUGGCACUCAUUUUGGGAGUAAGAGAGGUCCUAAUAUCCCUCUCCUGGAUGGGGCAACUUCUAGUACCUCUGCAUGGCACAGUUUCACAGGUAACAAGUGCAGCUUACAUGGGGAAGAACAUUUCCUGUAUCAAGGUCACAAAUUGGUGGAACACUACGUUAUAUAUUGCACGCUUGAGUAUAACCUGACAACUCAUACUAUGUGCUUAUGUUCUUCCAAUGCCUCUGUGACUAAAUUCUCCCUCUUCCCAUCUUGGACAGGAUGGUACAGACGUAUUAAUAAUACCUGGUCUAAAGUCACUCUUACUCUCUUUGAAGUAUACUGGGUGUGUGGUAACAAGGCAUACCUAGCCCUCCCUCCUUCAUGGAGUGGCUCUUGCUAUUUGGCUUGGUUACAACCACCUGUAGUAUAUCGCGCACGACUUCCUAAAGGGAAAAUCAGAAAUGUGAGAGGGGCUGAGGAAGACAUUAAUGACUCUCAUCCCCUUACUUGGCGUGCCCUAAACGAUUGGACAGGUGCUUGUGCGGGAUUCGUCGUCGCCUGUGGAGCUGCCACUUGGCGCAUUGGAGAAGGAGUCAUAAGACUUCAGGGAGUGUUGGAGGUAAUGGCACAUACUACUGCUGAGGCCUUGAUAGAUUUAGCAACUGAGCAAAAAAAACUAAGGCAGAUGGUUCUCCAGAACCGCUUGACGUUAGAUAUUUUGCUGGCCUCUCAGGGAGGAACAUGUGCGUUAAUCGGGCAGGAAUGCUGUGUAUAUGUUCCAGAUGUUUAUAACGCCACCUGGAAAAGAGCAAACCACCUUAUACAAGUUGCAAAAGACCAUGGAGGAGAGCGGGUUGACUCGUAGUGAAGCAAUUUUUCAACUGAAUUCCAGAUAUAGGUGGCUGGCUACAUAACCUGCUUCUCAGUGCUGUGGUAAUUAUUUGUGGUUUAAUAGUUUUGUAUGUUAUGCUAAGAUGUGGCUGUUGGAUGGGUACUAAGCUGUGUCCUACCAACUAGUGGAUAUUUCCAACUCACCACUUACAGUGGCCAGUGUGUCCCAAGAGUUCCGCAUGGCACUCUGGGGACAAAGGGGGGACUGUUAGGAAAAUUUUAACAUGAAACAGUUAUGUCAACUGAACCAGAGUUAGGCCAAUGCAGGAAUGCUCGGAAAGUUCCUGAAUGAGAUAGGUAGGAUGAAAGAAUGCUUGUUAAGUUGCAAGGAGUGAAUUAAGGAGGAGACCUGCAUUCCUGCAUUAUCGUACCAGAUGUUCUGAGAAUGAGAAGGAGACACACUGUCUCCGCUCCCUGUUUCUGUUUCAUGUAUGUUCUUAACUCCUCAUCUCCUGUUUGACAACUGGAUUGAUAAGAAAGUUGGGGAGGCAUAACGACUUACAAAAAGCUAUAUACAAUAGGGGAUAGGUAUGCAUGCAUGAUAAAGAACUUUUAACUAACAAAGGGGAGGGAGUUUGGGCUAUUUCAUGAAUAAUCUGUGACACGACGGACCUGUCUAUAAAAACCUAUUAGUUUUACCUAAGAGGUAGCUGGUUCUCUUUGGAGACGGGCUGCUCUCUAUUGUUGUGUGCACUCUUCAAUAAAGAGCUUAUACUUGGACUUUGCUGGUGUUGCCUGUCUCUCUGCGGUCAGACAACGAAUCGUGCCGUCUGGGGUUCGAGUCCCCGACAAUAAUGUGCAUAUAUACAUUAUAUUUUUAAUUGACUAUGUACACAUCAACUACACUACAUGUACUUUCGGGGUGUGGAUUAACUUGUCAGACCUGGGCUCAUCUGAUGUCACGGUUUCUCCUCACAGGGCCAGGACACCUUGUGACACUCCUCCGCAAACUAUUAGUUUUCUUUUUACAAUGCUUACAAGAAAUUAUUAAUGAGUCUUAAGGAGAUUUUUGAGACCCUCUUACAAAUUGUGGUGGAGGCAUUUCAAGCAUAAGUGGUAAUACAAAAAUGUUUGUAUGAGGUGUGGAUAAGUGGCAGUUGAAACUGGCAUUGGUGGUGGAGCAGAGAAGCAAUGCAAGAAGAGACAAGAAUGGAGAUUCAGGGAAGGGCAAAGCUACAAAGGGCCUUGGAAGUCGGGACAAAAAGCUUUAAGGGAAGGAACAUCAAAGUUUGAACACAGCUUGUCUGUGUCCAGGGAGAGGAAAGAGUGAAAGAUAGAUUUUAUGUUUUGACUUGAGUGAUUGGGAUGAUGGUGACUCAUUCAAAAGUGACAAAGAAUGAGAAGAGUGGACAUGGCUUCAGAAGAAAGGUCCCUUGCUUCAUUCAGUGCACAGGAUGGACUUACACUGGGGAUGAAUCAAGGUUGUGAGGGUGAAGAACAGCUAACAUGUAUACAACACUGCUGCAACUCCUUAUCUUGGUGCAGAUGCAUAUUGGCAAAGGUUUCUAGAUGUUUUAAGUCCCUUUCUGGCUUUACUAUUGCACAAACAGUAUUACAGAGCAGGUGCUCGCUGCAUGACCUGUGCAUAUCCACUUGCUGAGUAACACAUAAGUAACUUCUUUCAUGCCAAGAGUAAAUGAACACUCACUCUAUUGUAUCU